CGGUUACAUUCCGAACCCGGAAGUUAAGCUCUUCAGCGCCGAUGGUACUGCACCGGGGACGGUGUGGGAGAGUAGGUCGCCGCCGGAC
rnacentral:rRNA from 3 species